AGAGUUUGAUCCUGGCUCAGGAUGAACGCUGGCGGCGUGCCUAAUACAUGCAAGUCGAGCGAACAGAUAAGGAGCUUGCUCCUUUGACGUUAGCGGCGGACGGGUGAGUAACACGUGGGUAACCUACCUAUAAGACUGGAAUAACUCCGGGAAACCGGGGCUAAUGCCGGAUAACAUUUAGAACCGCACGGUUCUAAAGUGAAAGAUGGUUUUGCUAUCACUUAUAGAUGGACCCGCGCCGUAUUAGCUAGUUGGUAAGGUAACGGCUUACCAAGGCAACGAUACGUAGCCGACCUGAGAGGGUGAUCGGCCACACUGGAACUGAGACACGGUCCAGACUCCUACGGGAGGCAGCAGUAGGGAAUCUUCCGCAAUGGGCGAAAGCCCGACGGAGCAACGCCGCGUGAGUGAUGAAGGUCUUCGGAUCGUAAAACUCUGUUAUUAGGGAAGAACAAAUGUGUAAGUAACUGUGCACGCUUGACGU
rnacentral:rRNA from 1 species